rnacentral:rRNA from 1 species
CAGCAGCCGCGGUAAUACCGAGGGUGCAAGCGUUAAUCGGAAUUACUGGGCGUAAAGCGCGCGUAGGUGGUUUGUUAAGUUGGAUGUGAAAGCCCCGGGCUCAACCUGGGAACUGCAUCCAAAACUGGCAAGCUAGAGUACGGUAGAGGGUGGUGGAAUUUCCUGUGUAGCGGUGAAAUGCGUAGAUAUAGGAAGGAACACCAGUGGCGAAGGCGACCACCUGGACUGAUACUGACACUGAGGUGCGAAAGCGUGGGGAGCAAACAGGAUUAGAUACCCCUGUAGUCCCUGUCUCUUAUAC